UUUUGUUAAAUUUAGCUUACGUGUGUGAGUAUUUUGUCUGCAUGUUUGUAUGUGCACCAUGUGGAUGCUGGACGCUCUAGGGGCUCGGGAGAUGACAUCAGGUCCUGGGGAACUGGAUUACAGCUACAUACUCUGUGGGUGCUGAGAACUGAACCCAGGUCUUCUGCAACAAAUCCAAUUAACCAAUGGGCCAUCUCGCCAGUCCCUAUUGCUUUAGUUUUUACAAGUAAUUUGUUCAGGUUUUUUUGUUUUUGUUUUUUUUUUUUUAAGAGACUUAACAAAUAAACUCUACUGUUAGGAGUGAUUUUCUUUCAAUUGCUGGAUAUGGUGAUUUUUAUUUUCUUUUUUAUGCCCAUUGGUUAGUUUACUACAAUCCAUUGGUUAGUUUACUUGUCAGGGUGAACUUGCCUUUUCUUUAAAAGCUAAGAUUCAGAAAACACGCUGUUGAACUAGUGGGAGCCAUUUAUGAGGAAGUCGGUGUAACGCAAGCGAAUGCCCUUCUCUCCUAGAUGAAGCACGUGAUGCAAGUUCUAGAGAGACACGAAACCCAGCCCUAUGAAGUGGCUCUCGUUCACUGGGAGAACGAAGAACUCAACUACAUAAAGACAGAGUAAGCAGUGUCUCUGCACAUGCAUGACGAGGGUGAGAGCGGCGAAGCCAAGCAGAGAUUACUGCAAAUAUAUGGAGAGCCUUUAAGCUACUGGUACACGCCCAGCACCACACCAGACGACAGGAUUUGUGUUUAACUUCUCACGGAAUCAGCUAAGUCAAACAAAUACAAGUAUUACUCCAAAAUUAAAAUCGUAUUCUUUGUGAGCAACCUAAAUUAACAUAGCACGGCUUCAUCAGGCGGGUUUAUGAGAUUGUUCCGGGAAGGAUUUACUGUUAAGUACAUCCAUGUUUUCCCAGUUGACUUUGUCACAGAACUACAGUGAGCAGAUACAGGAGAGCCACUCUGAGAAUGCUGAGGCCUGACAGCAUUCUCGGGUGAGGAGGCGAGGCCUGGCCACAACCUACCUGAGUUUCUAACUGUAAUUUAAACCCUACUCAGCCUCCUCAGUGCUCUGACUACAGGCUUACGCCUUUAAGUCUAGCCUGUUUGUUCUGUGGAAUUACUAAUCUACUAUAUCUUUCUAUUGAGUCAUUUUUUCCCUGAUGUUUUACUGAUGAACAUUUGACAAUAAAGUCUAUUGUGGAGUUAAAAGAUGACUCAGUGGUCAGGAGGACCCAGCUCAGUCCCCAGCACCAGCUCAACAGCAGUGUAUUGGCUGGGCAGAGUAGCUCAGACCUGGAACCCCAGCACUCAGAAGCUGAGGCUGGAGAAUUCCCAUGAGUUUGAGCUCACCUAGGCUACAGUGUGACACUCUCAAAAUAUAGUAAAAAAGUUCACAAGUUUUACCCGACAUUUUUGUGGGUUAAUUCCUAGGAAUAGAAUUAUGUGGGUCAAAGGGUAGGAGGACAUUUAUAAAAUGUAAUAACAAAUUGUUGCCAGGCUGGCGACACCCACCUUUAAUCUCAGCACUCCGCAGGCAGAGGCAGGUGGAUCUCUGUAAGUUCUAGGCCAGCCUAGUCUUAUAGAGCAAGUUACAGGAGAGCCAGGUCUGCAUAGAGAAGCCUUGUCUCAAACAAACAAACAAAAAAAAAAUGUCAAAGUGGUUUCUAGAAGCUGGUGAAGUGUUUUUCAGAAGAGCAGCUGCUUUUAAGAUUUCAAAGCUGAUUUUUCUUUUCUUUUCACAGGGGACAAUCAAAACUGCACAGAGGGGAAAUCAAGCUAAACUCUGAGCUGGACUUGGAUGACGCCAUUCUAGAGAAAUUUGCGUUCUCCAACGCUCUCUGCCUGUCAGGUAAAACGUCCCUGCUUUGUGGAUGACCCAGAUAACAUGUUCUUAAGCACUAGAUGAUAAUUUCAGUCUCAGGACGGCCCCGAUAUUCCGUUUCUCCUUAGAAAUGUAUGAAUUUAUGUUGUCCUUGUUACUGUACUGUCAAAGCCCCACUUCUCCACAGUGUAGUUCCUUAGUUCCUUUUCCCGGACUCACUGCCUUUGUUCUCUCCUCUCCACGGCUGCUCUACUCGGUGCUCUAAUUCAGAGAUAGCCCAGCUCGUGUGCUGAGAUCCGGAAACCAUGGGUGCUGUGUAAGGCCUCCUCUGUGCAGCCUCUGAGGUGCUGGGAUUCGCUCACAGCCCUGAGGAGUAUAAGAAAGGCCAUGAAACUCUAACCCCCUGCCUCACGCACAGCACUACCUGUAAGGCUAGGUGUGACUUGUGCCCUCUGAGUUUCAGAGACAUGAAAAAAUAUGGAAUUCUAGGAGAUAUACGUGUUCUUCCAACAGACUUAGAAAUCUGGAGUCCACGCCCUCCUUUUCUUUCUUUAACUUCUUUUAUCUUUGGCUUUGAAGUUUUAGUUCUUUGGCUUUUUUUUUUUUUUGGUUUUGUAUUAAAAUUACUAAAAAUUUCAUUGUUGGGCUGGGGUGGUGCACACCUUUAACCCAAGUACUCAGGCAGCAAAAUUAGGCAGAUCUCUGUGAGUUCAAGGCCAGCCUGCUCCACAGACUAAGUUCCAGGACAGCCAGGGCUACACAGAGAAACCCUGUCUCAAAAAAAUCAAAAGUAUGGGCUUGAGAUAUGGCUCAGCAGGUAAGAUCAUCGACUGCUCUUCCGAAGGACCUGAGUUCAAAUCCCAGCAACCACAUGGUGGCUCACAACUAUCUGUGAUAGGAUCUGAUGCCCUCUUCUGGUGUGUCUGAAGACAGCUACAAUGUACUCAUAUAAAAAAAUUAAAUAAAUCU
rnacentral:lncRNA from 1 species